CCGGCGCACGGGUGAGUAACACGUAUCCAACCUGCCGUCUACUCUUGGACAGCCUUCUGAAAGGAAGAUUAAUACAAGAUGGCAUCAUGAGUUCACAUGUUCACAUGAUUAAAGGUAUUCCGGUAGACGAUGGGGAUGCGUUCCAUUAGGUAGUAGGCGGGGUAACGGCCCACCUAGUCUUCGAUGGAUAGGGGUUCUGAGAGGAAGGUCCCCCACAUUGGAACUGAGACACGGUCCAA
rnacentral:rRNA from 1 species